CGUGCGCAGGCGCAACUGGGAGAGGUGCUCCGGCGCCAUCUUGGUGGCGAUUUUUGCUGUUUGAGGUCCUGUUGAAGCGGCGGCAGAAGCAGCGACCGCGAGGAGGUUCAGCUGGACCAGGAAAUUCUUUGCUUUCAGCUGCUGUUUCGCGGGUUCGCCGUUGUUUUUUCAUCGGAACUCUUAGAAAACUGUCUAAAGUACGAGCUCAUGUCUGCCUUUUGUAACUGCGAAGACAAGUAUUAAGUUACAAAAGUAUUAAAGUCUGCAUUUCAAUCCUACUUCCCUUCUCCACAAUUAUGAUGUCUGUCACAAAGUGUACAUAACUUGCAUAAUUCUUUUUGCAGGUUGCAGAGGUCUUGGCUGAAGUUGAACAUGUAAAACAGUUGCCCAGGAUAAAGGGGAGAUGGUUUAGAACGGUGAAGAAAUGGACUACUUCAGCACAAGCAGUUUUGUUUGAAGCUUCGAGACCAGAAGUGUUUUGUUGCAAUCCUGAAGAUAUGAAUUUGAAGCUCAGAUUCUCCAUCUGAGGAAUCGAAGCCACACUUGAAUUAAGCCCAACACAUCACGAGAAGGGAAUAUAAAGAGUGUAAAGGAAUGCUUUUAGGAUUAACUGGUUGGUAUUUUACCAAAUGUUUCCAAAUCUUUAAACCUGUUCUGUGUAAAUAGCUUUGGUUAUCAUUUUAUCAUCUUCUGCAUAAUAAAAUUACCUCACUGUU